UAACGAAAUACAGUAUAAAGCUUGAAUAGGUUAACCCAAUAACUGUAAUUGUUCCAUGUAUUCAGUUUCAACACAGUGCAACAGGUGUUCCGUAUUACAGACACGUUUUCCUCUCGCGCGUCCAGAUGUACCACCUGUUCCCCAUUAAUUACUUCAGGUCUGCAUAUCGGUGGAAUUAUCUCAUUUCUGGCAGGAUUGUAUCAGUCAUGUUAUUAAGUUUCGGAUGAAGAAGCGAACGUAUGAAACAAAGGUUCGGUAUUUGUGUCAUUGUUGCCAUCAGGCGUCGCACGUUUCCAGCCUCUGGAGACCCUAUGUUAAACAAUGACCCACGUUUCUACUCCAACAUGGUACAAGUUUCACUCCACAGGCGGUGGCCUCUACGUUGCAUGCUCCUGCUUAUAAUAAUCAAUUCGGUAAUAACUGUAUCAGUUCUGUGGGGUUUAUUUUCUAAAGGGAAAAAUGCUGCCAAUGAAAUAUUUGCAAUUCUACACACAGCUCCUGCAACCAAAACAGAACAGCCGCGUACAUCUUUGCCACGGACUGAAAAAAUCAAACUCCUUGUUGCAGGAAACAUGUCUUCGAUUAUCACCGAUAAUGGAGAUACUCCACUUUCGGAAAACAAUCUAAAAGGGCGAUUGGAGCGAUCGAACAGUACCCGGAGGCUGAUAGUUUGGUACAACAUUCCACAUUGGUGGGACAGGUCUUGCUCCUCGAGUAUAGCUCACUGUCCAGUCAACAACUGUUUGCUGUCGGCCAACAAGUCAUUUAUGGCAGAAGCGGAUGCUAUUAUUGUACAUGCUCCGACCUUAAGGACAAGCACUAUCCCCAACAACACUGACGACAAAAUAUGGGUCUUCUUUGGGUUGGAACCGCCGCUCCACUUUUGGGAUACCUACAAGAAUCCAACAUGGCGCCAUCGGUUCAGUCUCACGAUGACGUAUCGGUUAGACUCUGACGUUCCAUCACCCUAUGGAAGACUGGUCGUUAGGGAUGUGUUUCAAGAAGGUGUUGACUUCAAGGAGACGGUGGAGCAGAAGUCCCGAGCUGUUGCAUGGUUUGUUAGUAGCUGCCUCACGCUAAGCAGACGUGGAGAAUACGUCAGGCAGUUGCAGAAGCACAUCGCUGUUGACGUGUAUGGGAAGUGUGGUACAAUGAAUUGCUCCAGUGAGGGCGAGGGGUCAUGUUUAAGUUUGUUGAAUACCACGUACAAGUUCUAUCUUGCUUUUGAAAAUUCCCUUUGUGUAGACUACGUAACUGAAAAGUUUUUCAAGACAUUUGACACCACUGCCAUACCAGUCGUCCGAGGAGGCGCGGACUAUGCCAAACUGUUUCCUGGUGGAACUUUCAUCAACGCUGACGAUUUUAGUGGCCCUAGACAUCUCGGGAACUAUCUUAACUACCUAGAUAAGAAUGAGACAGCAUAUCUGCAAUUUGUACGGAAAAAAAGUAAAUACCGUAGACUUGACAUUAAUCGCUCCGAGUUGAAUCCUUUGUGUACGUUAUGUGAAAAGGUUAAUGGCGGUUUGUCGGAAAUCGUUGACAUAACUCAGUGGUUAUUUAUGUCUGGUGCAGCUUGCCGCUUGCCAAGCGAUAUUUGAAAAAAACCAUAUUAUUCCUUGCCAGGCUGCUUUCAUGUAGGAAAUUUUAUGAGAAAGUAAACAAUGCCCCAAUCGCACGUGUUUAUGUAACUUUCUGAAGCAGUGAGGUUGGUUUAACACCGCUUGGAAGAGUAUUUUCGCAUGUCGGGUGAAAACCUACGCAAGUUCUAGACGUUUACCCUUUUGUGAAAUUAUCCAGCACGGAUAUGCUGCUUUUAAACAAGGAUCAUAAUCCAAGCACGGCUAAGGGACGCAACUCUGCACAACCUAGAUCACCUGUUCGCCCUUGUUCAUGAAACGGCCGUAUAAGCAGAAAUAACCAGCAUUGGCGACUCAAUGUGGAUCUUAAUUCGUGUUUUCUUUCGCAGUACAGGUACAAAUAUAACCACAUUAACAUAAUUAUAAAGUAUACGACAUUUGUUGGAACGUAAUUAUCACAUAUCGAGGAGAAACCUUGAAAACAUGUACACUACAGAAACACACCCUAAACAUAACAGACCAAGUAGGAUGAAAUGGGCUAACGUUGCCUAUAAGGUUAUUACAUUUCUGUAGCGACGUGUGUGCGUGUUUGUUAGCGCGUCUGUAUGUGUGCGCAUGGACAGUGCGGACUCCGAGCCGACCAGUCCUUGUUUCAUCACCUUAAUACAGAGCACCAGGCAGGGUAACAACAAGUAUAUAAUCUUUUGACGUCUUUUUGUAUGACUUGGUCAGAGGAUCCAACCACGACCUACUCUCCCGGUAGACAACGUUCAACAAGAAACGAUUUUGUGGAAGUGUUUUAAUUACUUUUUGAAAAUGUAAAAUAAACAUAAAGACAUAUUUAUAAGUGAAAUCGAUAUCACCACUGCUCUAUUAAGUGGGCAGUGACACGUCAGUUGAUUCCGGUUGGUUGUUGAAGGACAGAUUCCAAGCAAACCAUAUAUAUUUUUAACUAUUACUAUCAAGGUGCAUCUAUGUGCUUCACGUUCAUCCCCAGCCAAUGGGUAACCUAGUGGAAAAAAGUGGCCGCUUUUCAUGCCGUCCGGGUUCUAUUCCUCGUAAGGGUACAAUGUCUGAAGACCAUUCCUGGUGACCCCCGCUGUGGUAUUGCUGCACUAUUGCUGAACCCAUACUCACCCAAUCUCAAAUAGGGCAGACAUGUCAUUAAUUUGGCCCGAGGUUAAAUGAACCUUUUCUCGAGUGGCUCACCUUUGGCAGAUACACAAAACUGACAGCAGGGAUGGAUUAACAGUUAAUGAAACGAGAAAGACUCCUGAAAUAAAAGGUCAACAUAGAUUCUAUAUCAAUGUCGGGCUGUGGUUUAGAAACAAAUCAGAGGUGAGAUGUACUGGUGUAAGGCCGGUUCUAUAUUGUGCUGGCCCACCGAUGUACCGUGCCGCUGUUUAACAUGAAUACCCUACUCACACACAUUCUUAUACAGAUUCCGAGACGUUUUAUCAACAGCGCAAGGUAACAAGUGGCCAAACCAUCGAGCAACCCACGUUCCGCCCUCCUCGCAGAUGUUCUAUCCACUGCACCACAGACGGUUUAGAAACAAUCAGAAACAAUCAGAAACUGCUCUAAUAGCAUGUUUGAGCGAGUGUGGUUUUUUUUCAAGACGUGUAUUGAUGUGCAUUGACCUACAAGUGAAAACUAUUGAUUGAUUUUGAUUGUUAAAUAUUUGUAGGAUAUUAAAUUAAAAUACCUUGUCCUGUACCCAAGUGCCUUCAGUUCUGCUUUUGAGAUUCAUGUAGUUAUACAUGUAAAUUUUAUUUGCCACCAACACUCACUGACGUACUGAAUUCAGUCUUAGUUUGGUAAAAGAUCUGAGCCAGGGAAUGUUAUAUUGUAUCUAGUAUGUAGAAACAUUUUUCACACCUUAUCAUGCUACUUCAUUGCAUCUCUGGAAAAUAUGCUGAAAACAAACCUUUCAAACAGAAAGACUAAGGUCGGUCCAUUAAUUUACUCGGAUUAGUGGAUACUAUAUAGAAUUAAGAGUUAUGCAUAGAAAAACUAAUACAUUGUUGAACAUUUGGUGAUAUUAGAGACGUGACCGUGCUCGCCUUAGCGGGACACCAUCUGAAUGUAGUUGAGAGUUAUCCCCCUUUCAGAUCUACGCAAAAUAUAUCUACGCGUUUGUGAACAUGAACUCGGUAAAACACACACAUGCGCGAUUUUGGAUAUUUCUCGGCUGGACUGACUAAUUGAUGUUGUAAAAAACAUAACAUGUUAUGUAAAUGUAAUUAAAUCCCCGCUGCACUAUGUUUUUCAGCGGACAUGCACGGUUGUAAAUAUUACCUCGUUGCUAGGAGACCGAUCGGAAGCCAUCUUCAUGCGUUUGAUCAUAGUCUUUGAUACUCUUCGUUUUCGAGGACAUUCAGGUGCUAUAUUUUGCGGUUUCUGACAACAACAUUUUCCAACAGAUCUUCAGUAAGAUCUAUCCCCCAGUUAUCUACAUUAUUGAUAUGAAGAUGCCAACAGAGUACAUACAGGUUCCUCCCUUUUUGUUGGAUCCUGCUCUAGAUCACAGAGUUGAGAUGUUUCUUGAGGAACAGAUUGGACAGUCAAAGGAACUGGACUUCUACAACCACUACAGGAUGCUGAACUCUUCCUCUGUGAGGCCAUCUGUGUCUGACUCUGCCCUCAUCACUAAUGGUCUGGGAGUUCAUGAGAGUGUUGACAUGUACAUAUCUGCUGCAAGACAACUGGAUGAAAUCAGGAGGAGGAAGUUUCCUUUUCUGAGUGCUGAAAGUGUGGGGAAAUCUUCACAAAACCCUAAGAAAUCUUUCUCCGACUCUGAUGUUUGUCAAGUGAUUUCAGCAGAGAGCAGCAUCAGCCUCCAGUCAAGCUCAAGUGUGUGUGUGAACAGAGUACAAGAACAGGAGGACUUUGAGCCACAGCCCGGACCAAGUGGUUAUGUGGCUGAGGCAGGAAGAUUUAAGAACUUGAAGCCACAGUCUGAUCCUAACUGUUCUGCAUGUUCCAGCAUGUCCUCUCUGUACAGCACAGAAAGUGAAGUGAAUGUUUUCUUUGAUGAAUACAUGGUCAAUAUGCAUGAUAUCCAUGCACACAACUGGGCUGACUUUGAUGAUGAUGAUGAUGAUCACUCAGUGUCUGCUGUGUCCAGUAAGGAAUCUGUCCUAUCAGCUGUGUCAAGUGUUUUGUCAUUGCACACCGACUACAACCAUUGGAAUGGGAAUGAGGAUUAUGAGCUGGUUGGACCUCUUGGUGAUGAUGGAUGGGCAGUUGGAUCAGCGGAGGUCGUCAUUGAUAUUGAUGACACUCUCGAGUUUAACAUGCAGUAUCCUCCUCUUCAACCUGAGUGUGAGAGACAAGUACCAGCUAUCCCCCACAGGACCCCCAGCGAGUCUAUGUUGUGUGACAGGAAGAGGAAAUACUAUGAUGAGCUGAUGGGCGAUGGUGAUCAUGCCAGCAAGAGACCACGGAAGUCUGUCAGUGACACAGCAGUUUCCAGUCCUCAACAACCAGAGGCACCACAGCAGCCCAGGAGACAGAUAAGAGCUGCUCGUCGCAGGUUGCCCAGAGAGUGACAUUUGGAUGUGAUAUGAAGUAAUUGUUCUAUGUAUAUCUGUGUGUAUGGAACUGUUAUAUUUAACUGUAAUGUAACUUAUAGUGCUUGACAGUUAAAGUAAUAAUCUGGCCAGAGGCUAAACACCAGAGCCCAUAUAGGAUACUUUAAAAUUCUCUGUAGGUCUAGCUAGAUACCUCUGUGUCAAGACCCUUCAGACUUCCCUGUAGGUUGGGCUACCUCCUAUAUGGUCUGUGCCAAGACCUUAUAGAGGACACUUCAGACUUCCCUGUAGGCCUAGGUAUCUCUUAUGAUGGUCUGUGUCAAGACCUUAUAGAGGACACUUCAAGCUUCUCUGUAGGCCUAGGUAUCUCUUAUGAUGGUCUGUGCCAAGACCUUAUAGAGGACACUUCAGGCUUCUCUGUAGGCCUAGGUAUCUCUUAUGAUGGUCUGUGCCAAGACUUUAUAGAGGACACAUCAAGCUUCUCUGUAGGCCUAGGUAUCUCUUAUGAUGGUCUGUGCCAAGACUUUAUAGAGGACACAUCAAGCUUCUCUGUAGGCCUAGGUAUCUCUUAUGAUGGUCUGUGCCAAGACCUUAUAGAGGACACUUCAGGCUUCCCUGUAGGCCUAGGUAUCCCUUAUGGUGGUCUGUGCCAAGACCUCAAAGAGGACACUUCAGGCUUCUCUGUAGGCCUAGGUAUCCCUUAUGAUGGUCUGUGCCAAGACCUCAAAGAGGACACUUCAGGCUUCUCUGUAGGCCUAGGUAUCCCUUAUGAUGGUCUGUGCCAAGACCUCAAAGAGGACACUUCAGGCUUCUCUGUAGGCCUAGGUAUCCCUUAUGAUGGUCUGUGCCAAGACCUCAAAGAGGACACUUCAGGCUUCUCUGUAGGCCUAGGUAUCCCUUAUGAUGGUCUGUGCCAAGACCUUAAAGAGGACACUUCAGGCUUCUCUGUGGGCCUAGGUAUCCCUUAUGAUGGUCUGUGCCAAGACCUCAAAGAGAACACUUCAGGCUUCUCUGUGGGCCUAGGUAUCCCUUAUGAUGGUCUGUGCCAAGACCUCAAAGAGAACACUUCAGGCUUCUCUGUAGGCCUAGGUAUCCCUUAUGAUGGUCUGUGCCAAGACCUCAAAGAGGACACUUCAGGCUUCUCUGUGGGCUUAGGUAUCCCUUAUGAUGGUCUGUGCCAAGACCUCAAAGAGGACACUUCAGGCUUCUCUGUGGGCUUAGGUAUCCCUUAUGAUGGUAUGUGCCAAGACCUUAAAGAGGACACUUCAGGCUUCUCUGUAGGCCUAGGUAUCCCUUAUGAUGGUCUGUGCCAAGACCUCAAAGAGGACACUUCAGGCUUCUCUGUGGGCCUAGGUAUCCCUUAUGAUGGUAUGUGCCAAGACCUUAAAGAGGACACUUCAGGCUUCUCUGUAGGCCUAGGUACCUCUUAUGAUGGUCUGUGCCAAGACCUUAUAAGAGGACACUUCAGACUUCCCUGUAGGUCGAGGUACCUCUUAUUAUGCUCUGUGCCAAGACCUUAUACUAUAGAGGACCCUUCAGACUUCCCAGUAGGUCUAGGUACCUCUUAUGAUGGUCUGUGCCAAGACUUCAUAGCCCACAAAGGACACUUCAGACUCCGCUGUAAAGGUCAUGUAAGUGAUAUUGUGUUCAUAAUACAAUAUCUUACUUUUCAAUGUUGUGGACAAAAACACUGGUGAAUCGUUUAAGCCAUAAUAGUUUUGAUUCAGGCAAGCAUUACUAUAGUGACCAAAUUCGCAGAUUGUCCAAUCUCAUUUUGGUCAACUACUCUGACCAACAUGACCAAGUUUAGAGUUGAAUUGUAUCCUUCGUCUCGAUAUAUUUGGUUCUGACGAAGCAGGAAUUUGUCCUUUCAUCAUUACAAAUUAAGGAGGGAGGGAGGGUUUGGAGGUUUUUAGUAUUUUAACCUAAUGAUUUUAACAUUACAUUUAUGACAAGGAUCCUUUACUUUCAUUACCAGUAUUUGAACAAGACCCAUUCAUUUGUCCAUUUUAUUGAGAAAUGUCUGUAUGCUUACAUGUCCAUGUGCUGGAGUUGUCAGUCUGUGUAUGUAUCAUGUGCAGUAUGUAUGUUGAGUUGUAUAUAUCACAAACCUGUAUUGAUGCAGUAUCGAUACAGUUUAUUUAUCACUGCUGUUAUAAAAAGUCAACAAUCAA